AUAUAUAAUAAAUCUUGUUUAUUAAUGAAUAUCUGUUAUUAACGUUAAGAAAAAUAAUUUAAAGUAAGAACAAGUAAGUAAUUUUUAAUAAAAUCUUAUAAUAAGCUAUAGAAUACGAAGUACUGUGUAGGAAAGAAAAAAGUGAUUAUAAUACAAGUAUAUGUUAAUAAUUGUACCUUUAGUAUCAGGGAUAAUCAAAAUUAUCUAAUUAAUAUAGGUAUCUCGAAAAAAAAAACAGUUAAUUUUAUAAACAAGUUUUUGUAGAAUAAAAAUUUGAAAUUUAAAAUUAAAGGUGAAAAACUAGUCGAGUAUUUUUAUAUCUAGUUUCUUGGGAAAUAAAUUAAAUUUAAAAGUUAAAGUAAUAUAUAUAUAUUUAACAUUCAAUAAUAGGAGGGAUUAGCUUCUUAUUUAUACAAUAUCGGCCAAUAGAAUGUCACUAUGCUAAGCUUAAAAGCAGCUAUGCUAAAAAUAUGUUAUAAUACAGGUGAUACCGAGUAUAAUCAUUUGGGUAGUUGAUUUGGGUAAAAUUAUACUAAGAUAUUAAAUUAAAUUAGAAAGUAAAAUAAAAAAUGAUUAUAUUAGUAUAAAUACUAAUGUUAUAGUAUAAGAUUAUUUAUUAUAUCUAAACUAUAAUAUAAGGGUAGAUAAAUUCAAGGAACUCGGCAAAUUAUUCUUCUGCCUGUUUAUCAAAAACAUGUCUAUUUGAAAGAUUUAAAUAGUCGGACCUGCUCACUGAUUAAAAAUUUAAAGAGCCGCGGUAUUCUGACCGUGCAAAGGUAGCAUAAUCAUUAGUUUCUUAAUUAGGAACUUGUAUGAAUGGUUUGACAAGAAGAAAACUGUCUCUAUUAUAGAAAUUGAACCUAACUUUUAAGUGAAAAGGCUUAAAUAACUUAGGGGGACGAUAAGACCCUAUAAAGCUUUAUAUAAAAGUCAAUGUCUAUAAAAUUAGAAUAAUAAAGAUUUAUAUUGAUUAUUAUAUUAUAUUGGGGCGAUAUAAGUAUAAUUAAUUAUAACUGCUUAGCGUAAUUAACACUAUUAGGUGCUUAAAUAUAAAGGAUCCUGUAAUAUAGAUUAACAGUUUAAGUUACUUUAGGGAUAACAGCGUUAUUUCUUUUGAGAGUUCAUAUCGAAAAAGAAGUUUGCGACCUCGAUGUUGAAUUAAAGUUUCUAUAUAAUGUAGCCGUUAUAUGAGAAGGUCUGUUCGACCUUUAAACUUUUACAUGAUUUGAGUUCAGACCGGCGUGAGCCAGGUCGGUUUCUAUCUCCUAAAAAACUAAAAUGAUUUUAGUACGAAAGGAUUAAAUCAUUGAAAAUCUUUUAAUAAAUGUAAAUAAUUAAAGCAGUUCGCUGAAUAAUAUAUUCAAAAUAACUAUAU
rnacentral:rRNA from 1 species